GUAGGUGGCAAGCGUUGUCCGGAAUUAUUGGGCGUAAAGCGCGCGCAGGCGGUCCUUUAAGUCUGAUGUGAAAGCCCACGGCUCAACCGUGGAGGGUCAUUGGAAACUGGGGGACUUGAGUGCAGAAGAGAAGAGUGGAAUUCCACGUGUAGCGGUGAAAUGCGUAGAGAUGUGGAGGAACACCAGUGGCGAAGGCGACUCUUUGGUCUGUAACUGACGCUGAGGCGCGAAAGCGUGGGGAGCAAACAGGAUUAGGUACCCUGGUAGUCCACGCCGUAAACGAUGAGUGCUAAGUGUUAGAGGGUUUCCGCCCCUUUAGUGCUGCAGCAAACGCAUUAAGCACUCCGCCUGGGAGUACGGCCGCAAGGCUG
rnacentral:rRNA from 1 species